AAACCAACAGGGAUUGCCCUAGUAACGGCGAGUGAAGCGGCAACAGCUCAAAUUUGAAAGCUAGCCUUCGGGUUCGCAUUGUAAUUUGUAGAGGAUGCUUUGGGUAAAACGCCAGUCUAAGUUCCUUGGAACAGGACGUCAUAGAGGGUGAGAAUCCCGUAUGUGACUGGAAAUGUUAACCUAUGUAAAGCUCCUUCGACGAGUCGAGUUGUUUGGGAAUGCAGCUCUAAAUGGGAGGUAAAUUUCUUCUAAAGCUAAAUAUUGGCGAGAGACCGAUAGCGCACAAGUAGAGUGAUCGAAAGAUGAAAAGCACUUUGGAAAGAGAGUUAAAAAGCACGUGAAAUUGUUGAAAGGGAAGCGCUUGCAAUCAGACUUGUUUAAACUGUUCGGCCGGUCUUCUGACCGGUUUACUCAGUUUGGACAGGCCAGCAUCAGUUUCGGCGGCCGGAUAAAGGCAUUGGGAAUGUGGCCUUCACUUCGGUGGAGGUGUUAUAGCCCAGUGUGUAAUACGGCCAGCCGGGACUGAGGUCCGCGCUUCGGCUAGGAUGCUGGCGUAAUGGUUGUAAGCGAC
rnacentral:rRNA from 1 species